rnacentral:lncRNA from 1 species
AUCCCGAUGUCCAGACGCCGUUGCUGAGGGCAGCAGCACAUCGAUCGCGGCCUCCCUUGCUGAGGGCAGCAGCACAUCCAUCCAUCAUUCAGGUUAACAAAAUCUUCUGCGUGCGUGAGUUUCCUGUGUGUGUGCGUGACCAAAGGACUUGUGCUUGACGUCCCCUUGAUGCACCGUGACCUCGGUUGCUGACAGGUUAAAGCCCGACGUCCAGCCGCCGUUGCUGAGGGCAGCAGCACAUCGAUCGCGGCCUCCCUUGCUGAGGGCAGCAGCACAUCGAGGACGCGAACCGAAGUCGUCGUUCAAGCGCCGCGGCUCUGACACCGGAUACGUCAUCCAUCAUUCAGGUUAACAAAUUCUCCUGAACAACACUUAUGUUUAAGAAAUGAUUGCACUGGAAAUUACCUUUAAAGCAUAUAAUGUCCGCACCCACUUAUGUUCACUAACUGAACAACACCACCACUUUAUUUGCCAAUGACUUGAAUCAUCUCAAGAUCAUCCAUUGAUAAUUACACAUCUUCCACCUUUAGGUUUGUUGAUUGCUGAGAAAAGGUACAAUACAAAUUUAGAAACCACCUGAACCGUUAACAAACAAUAAAGAUCAGUAUAUGUUUAGAAACCACCUGAGAUGAUUUAGUACUCCAAACAUCAAAGUGAAGGAAAAAAAGGGAAGAUGUGCUUUAUGAACCUUAAGUUCAAUUCCCUGAUAUCUGAUUACAGGAGCAAGACAACUAAAAAAAGAUUUGUGUUUUUGUAGGUGCCACUGUUCCAUCACUAUUUAUAUCAGAUCGAAAUGAAAAAGAGCUUUCCCAAAACGCAAUCGAAUAGCAUUUCAGACCUUCAAUCACUAAAGUUGAUGGACAGUUUAAACUAUUACACACAUGUUGCAGAAAACAACUUCUGAUACCCAAUGCAGAAACAUUUGACAAUUUUGACACAUUGCUGCAGAAAACCUAUGACCUUCUAGCCAGAACCAUAUAUAUAUUUUUAUAUAAGGAUGAAAACCUAUGCUUUUUAGAAAGCAAUGUAACAGAGCAGCGACUGGGGUUACCAGUUCAAAGAAAAGCCUCACAGAAAAAUGAGUGGAAAAUACUCAGAAAUACUGUCGACAUGUUGACAGAAAUCUAAGAUAAAAAUGUUAGAUGGAUUAGAACUAUCCACAACAAGUCAAACAGCAACAGAGUACUUGUCUAAUCAUAUCACAAUUUCAAAACUAUUGAAGAUGAAGAAAAAUCGCCCCUAUCUUACCAUCAAGUAGGGAUCCUCUGGGAGGCGCCUCCCCUCCCUGAGACACCCUGUGAACCAGCAGUGGCUCACGAAAUGAGUCCCCAGCUUCCUCGUGAUGUCAUACUUCUUCCCCUCGAGCCUCCAGCACACCUGCCCACAAGUAGCACUUAUCAACCAAUUACAACAACUAAAGCAAGAAGAAAACAUUUGUUUGGACAUAUGGUCACAAAGUAAAUAUAUGUUCGGAACACACACUAGGGAGCUCAAGAACAUUACAUGCAGUAGUGAUCACUGUUGGGGCUGCUUCCAUGGUAUUAGAAACUAGGCAUGGUGUUGCCGUGCCCCUGCUGUGGCCUAUGAGUGGGACCAUCAGUGUGGACUGUGGAGCAGUUAAAUGAAUAGAAACUUAAGAGCAUACUUCCUGACUUAUCAUGUCCAUCUCCUACAACCAAUAGUAGCACAUUUUAAAGCUUAUUGAGAAAUGUAUAUAUCAGGAAGAUAAACACAAUAAAUUCUAUAAGGACAAAAGGUGCUAUAUGUCAUGAAGUGCAAAGCAACCUCCAUGUUAGGGAACAAAGAUUGUAUUUGUACAUUAGCAACCUGCAUGUCAGGGAACAAAGAUUAUCUUGCCACAUUGGCAAUCUGCAUUUUAUACCCUUCGCUUGGUUGCAGGUUACCAUCCCCCCCCCCCCCCUAAGCCUAUGAUAAAUGAGCAUAUAUAUGUAACAAUACAAAGAUGAUUAAAACAUUUGGGAAAAAAUAUCAAAACUAAUAUGUGAACUGAUUACUGGACUCAGGGUUAAACUUGCACUCUGAUCAAUAUUAGAAGCACUAGAACAACAUAAAAAUAUUUGCACAAUGAGACUGAUAAAGAAUACCAAGUUUCUCUACCAUGAAUGAUUGAUCCUUAGGCUAUGGAAUUAUCAAAUAUCUCUCUUGGAAACAACAUAGUAUGAGCCAUCUUACAGUGACAAUUUUUUUCACAAAUGUUUAUUUUAGUUCGCUAAUCAGUGAACCAUUUGUACUAAAUUAGGAACAAAGCAAACACAUUUCUCGGUCCAAACAUCCGAACCAAAAUCAUAAAUAAAUAAAUAAAUUUAAGGCAAACACAAGGUCAUGGAAUAGGCACUCCAAAAUAGGUAUUGGUGUACGCACAUUCAUAAUCAUAACCUAAACUCGCUACUUGAUCUGUAAUAUAUUGACGUCUUAAGUCAAAACUAAUCAGAAGCUAAAAUUUCUAUAAACAGCAACCCCAAAAAGUAUAAAUAGAACAAAGCCAGGAUAACAUGAGAGACAGGAUAAAAUCUAGAAGCUUCACGACUGUGCACUCUUAGUUAAGAUCUACAAGCAUGUAGGCGCAAAUAGAUAAUAUCAUAUGCCCACAUACCACAACAUUCCUAACAAAUCCAAAGAUGUAAAGCACAUUCUAUACCUUAACUUCCUCAAGAAGCUUCUUCUCCCACAUGUACAACUUUUGUAGUGUUGAGGUGAGGUUGCCGGAUCCCAUCGCCUUGUCCUCUUAAAACACAGAAACUCCUCCAUUGUCGGUAUACCACAAACCAUCAUUGCAGAGACUAAAUGACCAAUUGUUUCAAAUUAGCAUUUGUAUUGCUAAGUGUGCAGUAAGACUAAAAAGUACUAUUGCAAAUGUGAAAUAAGCUUUACCAACCUUUGAAAUUGAAGUCUUCUGGUAGUAAGGCAUAUUUACAACCACUAGCAUCUUGAAUACCUCACCGGCUCAUUGGGAGGCAUGGCCGGUGGAGAGCGACAGUGGCGACGCCCGAGGAGUAGUGGAGCGACAUCGGGUCGCCACGCCCGCGCAGAGAUGAGCACCGCCGGCGAGCCGCCGUGUUGCUGCACAAGGAGGAGCGGAGGGAUGCCGGGACGGGAGAUCCUUGUUCGCAAGCUCCGAGGAGGCAGCUCCGCCGAGUCCCCGUGGCGUGGAGCAGCGGAUGGUGGGGAAGAAGUAGCUGACGGUAGGGGAAAAGAGAUAAGGUAGAGAGAGGAGAGAAAGGAAGGGGAAACGGAUAUAAAAGAAAAAAGAAAAAUAUAUAGGUAUUAUACGUGUUUCACUCUUUCUAGCUUGGUCUAGCCAUCAGCACUAGGGACGAGCUUGCUGCUCGAACCUGCCACACGACUGCCAUGGCAAGGGGAGGAGAUUGACGGCGAUGUGGGCGCUUGAUGCCUUGACCGCAUCAUCGGCGUGGGGAUCUCGUCGGUCGCCUGGAAGAGGGGAGAGAGGCGCUCGUCGGAGGGGCCAUGAGACCUGCCGUCGCAGGGACACGCAACCCCGCUCGCUGGCCACGGACGUGCUCAUCCAAGAGCCACGUGACGUGCUCUCAUGUCGUUGCUCCAAUGUGCCAGAUCUCCUCUGUGCUAAUCAGCUCGCUUGCGCAAAGGAAGAGGUCGGGUGUAGCAGGAGCUCGAUUAAGUCAUGGGGAUGGAUUCCAGCGAGGGCUAUGCUUGGGUGGUGUUUGACCGUCUAUUCCGGCGAGGGCUAUGCGGCCAUGGUACAUGAAAAUCAUGCGAGCCAAGAAGGGGAUCGGGCAGGCAAUGGCUUGGCGAGCUGAGAGGAAAGGACACUGCUUACAGAAUGAGAAUGAGGGCAUUGGUCGAUGUUCAAAAUGGCCAAAAACCUCGGUCUUAUUGCGGCCCGAGAUUAAAGACCCUUUUAACACCGGUUUGUAAUAAGAACCGGUGCUAAAGGGUAGCACCGGUUCGUAUUACAAACCGGUGCUUCCCCUUUAGCACCGGUCAGCGCCACGGGCCGAGGCAAACCCUUUAGCACCGGUUUGUAACAAACCGGUAACAAACCGGUGCUAAAGGUGACUCUUUAGCACCAGUUUUUGCCCUGAACAGGUGCUAAAGGUCGGGUUUAUAGACCGGCUCCCUCCUCCCUUCUGCCUAUUUGAAACCGAGAGGACCAUUGUUGUUCUUGGAGCUUCUUCUUGCUUGUUCUUCAUUUGUUCUUCAUCUUCAACGUUCAUCGUUGAUCUUCUUCGACUCCAUCAUCGUCUAUUCGUGCUUGGAGGUGACUAACUUUAGCCUUUCUUGUCUUUUUCAUAUUGUUUUUGGCUUGUGAUGUUCCCAUCAUUUUUUAGCUCAAAUCCACUUUGUUAUUUUGAAUCAUUCACAUGAAUUAGUAUCUAUAUAUAUAUAUAUAUAUAUAUAUAUAUAUAUAUAUAUAUAUAUCAUAUUUCAUGGUUGACCUAGUAUUAAUGUAGUUUGCAAGAAUGAAUUAUAGUAUCUUUUUAUGAUCUUAGAAAGUAGGAUAGUUCAAAUUAAUUGGUUUGUUAAUAUCACUUGAUUUAUUUUUAUUACUACAUAAUGUCUAUUGUAUCAUACAUGUUUACUAGUAAAUGUGGAAUUUAUAAUUGUUUAAAAAUUAAGUAUGGAUAGUAGAUAGCAACCGUGACCGGGUCUCCAGAAGCAAGUGUACCAAGGAGGACUGAUUUUUUAAUACCUGUUAUCUACCAUGCGCGGCCCCACAUUAUGUGUCGUAGAAGUUGUGACCUCCGUCUCCACUCACUUAAUACUGUUACCAGAACAGUAAACAUUAACUGGCCGUGCGCAGUCUCCGUCCGUCCCGAGAAUCAUCAUAGGCCAUGUUUACUUCCAAAAAUUUUUACAAAAUAAAAACAAUAAUACUUUCAUUUAUAUUUUACAAAUAUUAUUAAAUCAUAGACUAACUAAGUUUAAAAGAUUCGUCUCAUAAAUUACAGAUAAAAUGUGUAAUUAAUUAUUUUUUUUAUAUAUAUUUAGUGUUCUAUGCAUGUGUAGUAAGAUUCAAUGUGAUGGAAAAUAUAAAAAAUUUGCCAAAAUAUUUUAGAAACUAAAUAAGGCCAUAAAAUCCCUAGCUCGCCUCCUCGCCGUUCCCACCUAGGCCUGACAUGGCUUCUUUGACCCGGCCUGCGACCAUGGCCUUAUUGACGCCUUGUUGAGUUUCUAAAUUUUUGGGUUUUUGAUACGAUAGCAUUUUCGUUUUUAUUUUACAAAUAUUAUCUAAUUAUGGACUAACUAAGGUUAAAAGAUUCAUCUCGUGAUUUACAGGCAAACGGAUUAGUUUUUGUUUCAUCUAUAUUUAAUGUUCCAUGCAUGUGCCACAAAAUUCGAUGUGACGAGAAAUCUUGAUUUUUUUUAAACUAAAUAAGGCCUUAGUUGUAAAAAAAAUUACAAAAUAGAUACUGUAACACUUUCAUUUAUAUUUGACAUCCUAUAGUAUAUGUCUACAUGCAAUAGACCAAAAGCUAUACACAUUUAUACACUGAGUAUAACAUUUUUGUUUAAGUUUUUGUGAAAGUUUUUUUAUAAAACGUAGUAUUACCACUGCGACACACACUAAUAUUUACAUAUAUAUACUCAAAUUUGUAACAGGAUGGUACGGAGAUGCGGCGGAACUUAUCCAUGACUGUGUUUGAUUUCACAAAUUUUGCUUCUUUAAGAUAAAUGUCACUUUAAACUUGGUAUUUAAAUUUUAUUAUAAUAUUAUUAUUUUAUUAUGCGAUCAGUGUAUUUUAAAUAAAAAAUAUUAUCUAUCCCGUAGCAACCCACGGGCACGCCACCUAGUAAUAAAAUAAUUCGAAGCAUGAAAAAAUUCAUACUUCAAAUUAGGGGGGCAUGUGUUGACAACUAAAUUUGCUGGUUGUGCACCAAAUUUAUGGUGUCCACAUACUGAUGUAUUAUUGUUGCUAGUAAAUUCAGGAGCUAGAAAGAAGACCAUCGGCUAUAAAAGGAUUAUGCCAGAAAAGUUUCGAUACUUAGAGAUAAAUCCACAUGCAAGAAAGGUGAUCGGCUCCACGUGCAGCUGUAUGUCACGGAG